GACGAACGCUGGCGGCGUGCUUAACACAUGCAAGUCGAACGGAAAGGCCCUGCUUUUGUGGGGUGCUCGAGUGGCGAACGGGUGAGUAACACGUGAGUAACCUGCCCUUGACUUUGGGAUAACUUCAGGAAACUGGGGCUAAUACCGGAUAGGAGCUCCUGCUGCAUGGUGGGGGUUGGAAAGUUUCGGCGGUUGGGGAUGGACUCGCGGCUUAUCAGCUUGUUGGUGGGGUAGUGGCUUACCAAGGCUUUGACGGGUAGCCGGCCUGAGAGGGUGACCGGCCACAUUGGGACUGAGAUACGGCCCAGACUCCUACGGGAGGCAGCAGUGGGGAAUUUUGCACAAUGGGGGAAACCCUGAUGCAGCGACGCCGCGUGAUUUAGAAGGCCUUCGGGUUGUAAAAAUCUUUUGUAUAGGAAGAAAAUGACAGUACUAUACGAAUAAGGUCCGGCUAAUUACGUG
rnacentral:rRNA from 1 species